ACAGGGGGAAAAAGAAGGAAGAGAAGAGAGUGUUUGGAUAAGAAAAAUGGAGAAGAUAGAACACACAACAGUAUCCACAAAUGGCAUCAACAUGCACGUAGCAACAAUAGGGACAGGCCCUGAAAUCCUCUUCCUACACGGCUUCCCUGAACUCUGGUACUCUUGGCGACACCAACUGCUUUUUCUUUCCUCCCGUGGUUACCGCUGCAUAGCCCCUGACCUUCGUGGCUAUGGCGACACCGACGCUCCUGAAUCUGUGAAUCAAUACACUGUUUUCCACAUUGUGGGAGACUUGAUCGGCCUCCUUGACUCGCUGGGGAUCCAGCAAGUAUUUUUAGUGGGUCAUGACUGGGGGGCCUUAAUAGCCUGGUCCUUGUGCAUAUUUAGACCUGAUAGAAUCAAGGCCUUGGUAAACACGAGCGUCGCCUUCAUGCCGAGGAACCCACAAGUAAAGCCUCUGGAUGGGUUCAGGUUUAUGUUCGGUGAUGAUUACUAUAUCUGCCGAUUUCAGGAACCUGGAGAGGCCGAAAAAGACUUUGCUCAAGUUAAUACUGCCAAAUUGAUUAAAUCGUUUUUUACAUCUCGCGACCCAAGGCCACCUAUCUUUCCCAAGGAAGUAGGAGUCAGAGCUUUACCAGAUCCCCCAAGCCUGCCCUCUUGGUUAACAGAAGAAGAUGUCAAUUUCUAUGCUGCCAAAUUUAACCAGAAAGGCUUCAGUGGAGGAUUGAAUUAUUAUCGAAAUAUUAACCUGAAUUGGGAGCUCACAGCUGCAUGGACUAGGGUGGAAAUCAAAGUGCCGGUGAAGUUUAUCAUAGGAGAUCUGGAUCUUACCUACCACAUUCCUGGUGUCAAGGAUUAUAUACACAAUGGUGGCUUCAAGAAAGACGUGCCCCUCCUGCAGGACGUGGUUGUAAUGGAAGGAGUGGCUCACUUUCUCAACCAAGAAAAGCCAGAGGAAGUUAGUAAACACAUUUAUGACUUCGUUAAGAAGUUCUGAUCGGAAAGAGAGAAAUUAUUAGUUAAAAAAUAAUCAUUAAUAACACUUUUAUGUGAGGGAGGGAGCACUAUUUUUUAGUACUCCCAGUGCAUCUAAUAAUUAACUCAGAAAUAAUAGCCACGUGUUGUGCGUGUUAGGCCCCAGCUAGGUCAUGUUAACUUGCUCUUCUUCAACUUCAAUUGAAUAAAUGCUCCAUCUAGCCUCUCGGGGUCUAUAAAAUGUCACGGGAAGUUCAUCCUGUCAAUCUUCUUUGAUUUUCAAGGGAAUUUAUUGUCUUUUACUUCAUCUUAAUUAUUUCAAACAAAUAAACAAGAAAAUAUACGCGCAGCACAUGGCAAAGAACAUUGAUUUGGGGCUCCAGAACUCUGGUACACUCUUUGUUUCUUACGUAUAGAUUUCCCUAGAUAAUUAAAUAAAGGGUUUUUCCUGUCCAGAGCAGAGGAGGUUUUAAUUAGCUUUACUUGCCUACACAUAAGGAAGGAGUGUGUUAAGGAGCAGAUGAGUUUUAGAAAAGCCAAAAG
rnacentral:misc_RNA from 1 species